GGGGAAUCUUCCGCAAUGGGCGAAAGCCUGACGGAGCAACGCCGCGUGAGGGAGGAAGGCCUUAGGGUUGUAAACCUCUUUUCUCUGGGAAGAAGAACUGACGGUACCAGAGGAAUAAGCCUCGGCUAACUCCGUGCCAGCAGCCGCGGUAAGACGGAGGAGGCAAGCGUUAUCCGGAAUUAUUGGGCGUAAAGCGUCCGCAGGCGGUUUUUUAAGUCUGUUGUCAAAGGUCACAGCUCAACUGUGGAUCGGCAAUGGAAACUGGGGAACUUGAGUGUGGUAGGGGUAGAGGGAUUCCCGGUGUAGCGGUGAAAUGCGUAGAUAUCGGGAAGAACACCAGUGGCGAAGGCGCUCUACUGGCCACAACCGACGCGAGGAAGAAGCCAUGCCCA
rnacentral:rRNA from 1 species